rnacentral:lncRNA from 1 species
UAAUUUGGGAGCCUCGUUAUGCCUGAGGUAGGCCUAGUGACAAAAAGAUUUAGAGAACUUCAAAUGCCAAUAAAUGUUUCAUUUCAUAAUAUAAAAGUAGACGAAUCCAAAACAACACUAACAUAAUAAAUAAAACAAGUUGCUACUGGCACUUGGCCUUAUUACAUUUUAAGAAAAACAAGUAAGUCUAAUCUAUUUGGUCCCAGAAGGACCUUCCUCAGGUUGAAUGUUCUCGUUAAUCAAAGCCUCCAGUUUGCGUAGGUUCACUAGUAAGAAUGCCUUUUCCAAAUGUUCUCAUUCGUUUCCCUUAGUGUUCUGGCAGUCGGUGACUCUCUUCCUCACUUUCCUUCAAAUUCUAGCAGGCUGUAUUCCAGAUAUUCCAGUUUCUCACUAGAUUUGAUGGCACUCUCUUUCCAUUCAUUGAUUUGGUCACUUGAUAGGAGAUUCCUCCACCAGUCUAGCAAGAGUGAAGGUGUGCUAACCAUACCGAAUCUGGGGACCUCAUGCCUCAUUUCCUGCAAAACAAAAGGUUAGACCUUACCCCCCAUCGGACUUGACUAUUUAUACAUUUAUGAUCANNNNNNNNNNNNNNNNNNNNNNNNNGCAUAUAGGCAUUUAGUUCUCCAAAUUAAUGCACGGAACGUGGCUUCAUCCGUUGGGAUUAUGAAAAACCUGAUGGACUUUGGAUAAGGCUUAUCUUAAAGGAUCAUUAUGUGGAUAACAUAACUGAUCCAACUAGGUUUGACCAUGAUGCAUGGAAAAUUUAAAUAGAGUAAGGUUUCUAUGGGGUUUUAGACUGGUACCCUCAAGCGGACAACUUGAGGGGGAAGGAACAGAACCGUCGACUGCACCGUUGAUCGAUUGGUUUUACCGCAAAUAAGCCUUUCCAAAUUUAAGGGUAGUAAAUAGGAAGAGCAUAACCACUCAUUAAAGCGUUGCUAUAGGAUUUGAGACGCACGAGUGGAAUAUGAUGUGGAGCAUGAUUUAUACAGCAAUUAAUAACAUGUAGGCAAGUAGUUUUAUGUAGGAAAAGUAAAUACAACAUUUAAAUGAUUGAAAGACAGUUACAAGAAAAAGAAAACAAAGAGACAAGUCAGUUUCAGGGCAAUAAAGAAAUCAUAAAUACUUGAUAAAUAGACAAUUAAAUUCAAAUAAGGGUGCAGGGUAUGGGAUAAGCAUGCUUAGACUAAUUUGUAAAAGACAAGUUCGUUAUGGUAAGAGCCUAAAAAUAUCCUUAGUAGAGUCGCCAUGCUGUCGCAUCCCCUUUUUCCCUCCCCUUUUUGACGGGGGAAGAGGUCCGGGUUUCGACAUUCACGGGGUGUAAUGACUCAUUUCCUUUUGGGAUNNNNNNNNNNNNNNNNNNNNNNNNNGGUUUACAUUACUAGAUAUUAGGGUAAGGGCUCGAAGUAACAUCGAGAGGAAGGUGUUAGGCACCCCUCUUGAUCCACAACUGUGGGUCCCGACCGAACUUAGAUUCACAAAUUAGUCCAUAUAAAUAGUUGAAUCAAAUAAAUUGCAAGCAAAGCCCGUUGGAUAACUCAAGUAACAAGAUAAAGGUUUGGACAAGUUGUAAAACAAAGGUUUAAAUAAAGAGAUGAUUUAGGUAAGGAUGGGUCCUAGGUUGGUUAUCCUAUAGGAUCACCCUACGCAAUGUCCAGUAAACACUCCUCAAUGAGGGGCUACACAUAAUAUUAUUGCGUAGUCAUCAUAUCCCAUGUCUACCUUUCCCAUCCCCUUAUUGGUCAUGCAAAGCGAGUGAUUGGUCAAUGGUUCCUAUUGCGUGCUGCUACCCGUCCCUUCUUAAUGGUCCUACAGGGAGUUAGGACCUCUACCUAUAGGUAGUUCUAGACGUACCCCUAAGGUUUAGAAAGGCGAAAAUUCUAAGGCAACAGUCAAAAUAUUCAGGACUUUCACAUAAUGGGAGCAAUUAAGAGGCUCAGAGUUUCCUCCUCAAACAAACACAUAAGCAGCACGGCUCAAACACAGUUAAGGUCUUUUAUUAAAAAAUGUCCUAAAGCAGGAUAUCCAAGUGAAUAUGUAGAAACAAACAACCCCCUUUUUUAGACUCAGAAGUUACACCCUAGUGGUUGCCUAGGGACUCUUUUUAAAAGCCUGUUAGAAUCAGAAACGUUAAGUGACAGAGACAGUUUCAGAGAAAUGCAAUUGUUGAAAACGCCCUUAGGCUUGCCUAUAUACAGAAUAAUGGUGUCUAUGUUAAUGCAGAAAUCAAACAGAUUUUGAAAUAAUCUCCUUAAAUACCUAUAGGCAUGAUAUCUAAUGAGGUUGAGACAAUUUGAAAGAGCUUGUUUCAAAAAAUGCUUAAUACUUAAUAAGACCAGUUUAAAAAUGAACUAGGCGUAAUGAAGUUGAUUUGUUAGACUAAAUUAAAUUAUCAGACAGUAUUGUGAGUAGAGAUCCAUAUAGGCAUGAUAUCUAGGUGGAUUACUGAUUUUAGUCGAUUUGCAGCAACAUAAAGAAAUACUCAUUAUAACUGAAUUGGAAUUGAGUCAUAUAGGCAUGACAUCUAUUAUUGAACUAAUUUAAGACAUGAUUGUUUGGAACCUAUAAACAUGGUUUCUAACAUGUCAGAAUGCAAACCUUCUAGACAUGGUUUCUACUUGAUGAGCAAACAAACAUAAAAGUGAAAUCCUAUUGACAUGAUUUCUAUUAGGCGAAGCAAUCAGAUUAAAGAGCAAACCUAUGAGCAUGUUUUCUAUUAAAGCAAUCAGAUUAAAGAGUGAAACCCUAUGAGCAUGUUUUCUAUUGAGUAAAGCAGACAUACUCUAAAAGUAAGAUCCUAAGAGCAGGAUUUCUACCCGUAUUACCCCAUAAAGUAUACAUCUACCCAUCCCUUUUACUAAAUACCCCAAAUAUCUGUAUACAAAUUAUUAUAGGCCAAUGAAUGAAUUACAUAAGUAGAAAUAGAAAAUCAAGAAGCUAUUCUAUAGGGAGCCUUCAAGUAGGCCCAGGUUUCCCAAAGCCUCCAAUGGUCUCAUAAGCCUCAGUUCCAUAGAUAAAUAGAGUCUAGGUGCAUCAAAGUUCCUUAAGGGUCUCAAGGACCCCGGGAAAUGCUUACACCUAGACUUAAUAACCAAAGAAUUGAACAAGUGUAGUGUGAAAAGGUCGCCUCAGUAUGCCAGAGUUCAGAGGGCUCUCAAAAAGAUCCCAAGGCAGUACACAUACUAGAGGGGGCAGAACUUAUUGACUAAGGGUAGAGUGAAAGUGAAGGACACAAGUUAAAAAAGGUUCAAUAAAAGACUAUUAGAAAAUCUGUGUUGAAAGUAAUUUAGUAAAGCAACAGAGAUUGUUUGGAAAAGAGAUUGGAGUAGUAAACAAAGUUCAAAACCCCUUAGGAUAGGAUCAUACACAGCUAGUUCACAGAACCAAGUGAAUUCAGUAGUCACACAGGGGUUAAGGGGUUUGAGUCACAUAGAACAUUUGGCUGCAAACACAUAACCCAGCAAAGGUUUUAGGGCUGGUUGAGACAAGCUCAGAAACAGUAACACUGGCAUAGUCACAGAACCAGUCAUGAAAAACACAAACACAUAGAAGGGUGAUAGGGAUUUGGGGAUCCAUAGGAUAUAGAAUGGUAAGUACACAACAAGCAAGAGAUAAAUGGUAAGGCAUGCUCAUAAAUACACAUAAGGGGAAUGUACUAAUCUAAAGGAAGGGGAAGACAUAAUAACAUGCUGAUAAUGUAACUCUUAACUACAAAUUUCACAACAGAACCACAAAUAGAAACAAACCAGAAACCAGAGAAACUGAAACAAUAGGAGAAGCAUGUUGUUAUUGGAACUUUAAAUUGAAACUAGGACAUACCAGUGAAGAGGAGAGUAAGCAAAAUGAAAGAACAAGAGAGCACAAAUGGUUAGCCUCGGCUUGCAUUCAGCUAACAGUAGCAGAUAGCACAAGAGAGAGAGCAGAGAUUGUCACACCUCCUUUUCGUACCCCCGGAAGGGAUAUAAGAGAGUUUUUCCAAUUUAAGUGACAAUCGAAACAGGAUUAUUUAUUUAAAAACAGAGUCGCCACUUAGGAUAAUUUAUGGUGUCCCAAGUCACCAUUUUAAAUCCCAAAUCGAGGAAUAGAUUGACUCUGUUUUACAGUCCCAAAACACAGAAAUCUGAGUAAGGAAUUAUGUUAACCCGGAAGAAGGUAUUAGGCAUUUUCGGGUUCCGUGGUUUUAGCACGGUCGCUCAACUGUUAUUAUUGGCCUAUUUACUUGAUUUUAAACAUCUUUGAGACCUAUGUGCAUUUUAAAACUCUUUUUUUAAAAAAUUUCUUUAAUAAUCCAAUUAUUAUACAGCUAAUUGUUGAUUACACGUUUGCGAAUCAUGUCACGGGAACCGUACCCACAAUCCACAACAUGUUUAUUUUAUUAAAAAAGAUUAAAUUCUGGCUGGGUUACAUGAAUAUACCCCCGAAUUUUUAGAAAUCAAAUGUCAUGACCACGUUACGGGAACCGUACCCGUAGCUAUGACAAUUAUUUAAUUAACACGCCUAAAGCAAACUACGAGAUUCACGCAUCCUCAAGACUAAUUCAAAGUUUGAUAACAAGCUAGAUUACUACCAAAGUAUUUAGAUCGGCACAUGCUUUUAAAGCUUCUGAACCAUUGGGCCUAAGCAGGAAAAUCUUCAUUGUCACAUAGCUUUAUCUAUUAUGGCCUUGUUCUGUUCUUUUGGUCCAAUGGAAACAAAUGCCACUUUCAACUAACUAGUAAAUGAAUAUCAAUUUUACAGCAAGUAGAUCCAAGAGGUAAACGAGUUAAUAAAAAUUUCACUCAGGUUGAAGCAUGGCAAGAUUACAAAGGAAUCAUUUGACUAACUUUAUAUCAUCUUCCCUUCAUAUAGCAAUACUCAUGCAUUAACCACAUAGUGAGAAAAUAGACUUGAACUAUUACAUGAACUCUUCUUAUUCAAACCAAUUCAGAUUUGAUGGACAUCUAUUUAUGCAUUUUGGCAUCACACUACCAUCAUAGCUAAAGUAAAACAAACAGAACAUGAUACUCAUCAAUCUAAACAGCAUCUUUGCAUCAAAUCCUUGAGAAAAUGAAACUCAUGUACUCAAUGUAAUUUACCAGGACAUCAACAUGCAGUUCAUAUUUGGCCAUCACCCUUAACAAUCCUAUCCCACUAAGCUUUUAAACAAAACAAAAUUCUUACAACAUUCAAUCCUACGUAAACUGGGACAAUUACUACAUACAUUCACAGCUAGAUUCUAGCUCGCUAAAAGGGAACAUCGAAAACAAAGUAAGGACAACAAGAACAAAAUCAAAAAAUAUAAAUCAAUCUACAUAGUCAAUAUGACAUUUUAGAAAGAAGAGGCAAAUGAUCCAAAGCUUUAUGUUCAUGAUUCGAUAGCCAAAAGAUGUUCAUCCUACAUACCUGGACACAACAAACAAAAUAAGGGAAUAAAUCUCUGAAUUCAAGAAGGGACCACAGGAAGCAGUAGAACCAGCAACAAAGAUGUAGCAGUAAUAACCAACACUAGCUUCAGAUCAAGUCAUUUUCUUGACUUAAAACAACCAGAAAUCGAAGGGAGAAUUCCCUUUAAACUUUUGUGAAGAAACAGAGAGUGGAAAGGUUGAAGACAAGCACAAAUAUUUUUAGAAAAGAAAUUUUCAGCCGUUUUCUCUUUUUGGAGUCUUAAUCUCUGCCCUCUAGAAUGAUAAAAAGAUCUUCUUAUAGGGAGACCUUAGGGCAGCAUUACCAGGCCUUCCUCUUUUUUAAUUCUCCCUUUUUACCCCUGGUUUUACUUAGCUAUUUUACCCUUUAACCCUUUUAAAAAUAUCUAAGCUCUUCCUUAUCUCUUAACAUGUGAG